rnacentral:rRNA from 1 species
CCUACGGGUGGCUGCAGUGAGGAAUAUUGGUCAAUGGGCGCGAGCCUGAACCAGCCACGCAGCGUGAAGGAUGACUGCUCUACGGGUGUAAAACUUCUUUUAUAAAGGAAUAAAGUGAGGCACUUGUGCCUUUUUGAAUGUACUUUAUGAAUAAGGAUGGGCGAACUCCGUGCCAGCAGCCGCGGUAAUACGGAGGAUCCGAGCGUUAUCCGGAUUUAUUGGGUUUAAAGGGAGCGUAGAUGGGUUGUUAAGUCAGUUGUGAAAGUUUGCGGCUCAACCGUAAAAUUGCAAUUGAUACUGGAAGUCUUGAGUACAGUUGAGGUAGGCGGAAUUCGUGGUGUAGCGGUGAAAUGCGUAGAUAUCACGAAGAACUCCGAUUGCGAAGGCAGCUUACUAAACUGCCACUGACAUUGAUGCGCGAAAGUGUGGGGAUCAAACAGGAUUAGAUACCCCGGUAGUC